CCUGUCACAGCGGUCCCCUGAGGAUAACAAACUUCACCCUUGUGCCUUUCUUUCCCAUCGGUUAUCUCCCACAGAAAGAAACUAUGAUGUUGGGAACUGGGAACUGCUGGCUGUGAAGUUGGCUCUGGAGGAGUGGCGACAUUGGCUAGAGGGCGUAGAUCAACCAUUCGUGGUUUGGACCGACCAUAAAAAUCUGGAGUACAUCCGCUCAGCGAAACGCCUGAAUCCUCGUCAAGCCAGGUGGGCUCUUUUCUUCGGUCGCUUCAAUUUUGCCCUUACCUACAGGCCCGGUUCCAGAAAUGUGAAGCCUGACGCAUUGUCUCGGCUGUUUGAGAAGGAGGAGACUAUUGCAGAACCCGACACCAUAAUACCAAGAACCUGUGUCAUUGGGGCAGCCAUUUGGGAGAUUAAGGGAGAGGUGAAAACGGCCCUGCAGCACCAGCCUGACCCAGGUAACGGCCCCCCGGGUCGUCUGUUUGUGCCUCUCUCUCUCCGUCCAUCUGUAUUACAGUGGGGUCACUCCUCCAGACUCUCAUGCCAUCCUGGAGUGGCACGCUCUUUGGCCUUCCUGCGCAGACGGUUCUGGUGGCCAGAGAUGAGGAACGAUGUCCAGACCUUUGUUUCUGCCUGUCUCGUCUGUGCACAGAACAAGGGUUCCAACCGCCCCCCCCCCAGGGUACCUGCAGCCGCUUCCUAUACCUCGUCGUCCGUGGUCUCACUUAUCACUGGAUUUUGUAUCUGGGCUACCUCCUUCGAAGGGUAUGACUGUGGUUCUCACUGUGGUGGAUCGUUUUAACAAGUUUGCACGUUAUCUGCCUCUGCCCAAACUGCCCACAGCUAAGGAGACUGCCGAAACUCUUAGUCUCUGUGGUGUUCAUGGUCCACGGUCUAACUUUGGACAUCGUCUCGGACAGAGGUUCACAAUUCUCCUCAGCCAUUUGGAAGUCAUUCUGCCGAGCCAUAGGGGCCACCAUAAGCCUGACCUCUGGGUUCCAUCCUCAAGCUAACGGCCAAGCGGAGAGAGCCAACCAGAAACUGGAGACCACCCUGCGUUGUUUGGCUUCCUCCAACCCCACGUCCUGGACAUCUCAGCUUCCUUGGGUGGAGAGAAAGAGUUGGCUGUUCCCUCCAUCCAAGCAUACAUCCGCAGAUGUGAUCGCACCUGGCACCGAGCCCGGGCCACCCUUCUGAGGACCUCUGCCCAAUAUGAGCGCCACGCCAACCAUCGUCGGACUCCUGCACCCUCCUAUUCCGUGGGGGACAAGGUAUGGCUCUCCACCCGGGAUAUCCCGUUAAAGACAGACUCUAAGAAAUUAUCACCUAAAUACAUUGGUCCCUUGGUGAUCGAGAAGGUCAUCACCCCCGUGACCGUCCGUCUCCGACUGCCUCCCACUCUCAAGGUCCACCCUGCCUUCCAUGUAUCUCUUCUUAAGCCUGUGGUUAUCAGUCCACUACUCCCUCCUCUCCCGGCCCCUCCACCCCCCCGGCUGAUUGAUGGCCAUCUGGCUUUCAGGGUUCACCGGAUUUUGGACUCCCGUCGCCGGGGGCGCGGCGUGCAGUAUCUCAUCGACUGGGAGGGCUAUGGACCAGAGGAGAGGAGCUGGGUUCCCCGGCAGCAGGUUCUGGAUGCUGCUCUCAUAAGGGCAUUCCAUCGCUCUCACCCUGAGAAGCCUGGAGGACCGCCUGGAGGCGCUCCUCGGGGGAGGGGUACUGUCACAAACCCUCGGUCAUGAUCCUGGCUCUGGCUGAUUUGAGAUUGCUGGUGGGCGUGUUCUCCAGUGAUCCUGUCUUCUCACCUGCAGUUCAUCACGUCAGUCAAACACACCUGUUCCAUUUCAAACAAUCUACUCUCUUAUAAAAGCCAGACCAACUUUCCAGUCCCCGCCGGAUCGUUGUACCAUUCAUGUUCCAGCCUGAACCUUGGAAUCAAAUCUCUCACCAGAACCUCAGGACACAGAUUACUGAAACUGGAUCACCAACCGUCUGUCUGCGAGAACAUACCCUGCUCAGCA